rnacentral:rRNA from 1 species
GCCAGUUCGUCCUCCGGGAUGGUGGGGACACUGUUGGGACCGCCUCUGCUAAAGAGGAGGAAGGAAUGGGCAACGGUAGGUCAGCAUGCCCCGAAUUAUCUGGGCUACACGCGGGCUACAAUGGGUGGGACAAUGGGUAUCGACACCGAAAGGUGAAGGCAAUCUCCUAAACCCAUCCGUAGUUCGGAUUGUGGGCUGCAACUCGCCCACAUGAAGCUGGAAUCUGUAGUAAUCGUGUCUCAAAAUGGCACGGUGAAUAUGUCCCUGCUCCUU